GUGUAAGUAGCUUAAUGGCAGAGCGUAUGCUUUGGGAGCAUAAAGGUAUAGGUUCGAGUCCUAUUUUACGCACCA
rnacentral:tRNA from 1 species